UGGCCUCGAAUCAGGUAGGGAUACCCGCUGAACUUAAGCAUAUCAAUAAGCGGAGGAAAAGAAACCAACAGGGAUUGCCUUAGUAACUGCGAGUGAAGCGGCAAGAGCUCAAAUUUGAAAUCUGGCGCCUUUGGCGUCCGAGUUGUAAUUUGGAGAGGCAUCUUCGGGUGCGGCGCCGGCCUAAGUUCCUUGGAACAGGACGUCAUAGAGGGUGAGAAUCCCGUUCUCGGCUGGCUGUCCGCGUCCAUGUGAAGUGUCUUCGACGAGUCGAGUUGUUUGGGAAUGCAGCUCAAAAUGGGUGGUAAACUCCAUCUAAAGCUAAAUACUGGCGAGAGACCGAUAGCGCACAAGUAGAGUGAUCGAAAGAUGAAAAGCACUUUGAAAAGAGAGUUAAAAAGUACGUGAAAUUGUUGAAAGGGAAGCGCUUGAGACCAGACUCGGCGGGAGGUAUUCAUCGUCCCUUCUGGGGCGUGCACUUGCCUCUCGUCGGGCCAGCAUCGGUUGCGGCGGCGGGAUAAAGACCCGGGGAACGUGGCUGCUCUCGGGCAGUGUUAUAGCCCCGGGUGUCAUGCCGCCUGCUGCGACCGAGGACCGCGCUUCGGCUAGGAUGCUGGCACAAUGGUCUUCAGCGACCC
rnacentral:rRNA from 1 species